AAUAUACCAACCGGCUCGGAAAUCAUACCAAACUACAUAUGAGGUGGCAUACUUUUAGGCACUGUUGGACAUUUUAAUAAAUACUUAAAUAUUUAUGAUUUAUGAUGUUAUGAUUUAUAAAACAAAACAAAAAUCAUUAAGAACAUAAAAAUCUUGUUUUGUCUUUGCAUGGCGCCAUCUGGUAAAGGCAACUCAAAACAUAUAACUGACAAUACAGAUACAUCGAUAUAUCGAGGAGGGAAAUUCAAAAAAGUAGGAAUAAACAACAUUUUCCUUAAAUGGAUUUGUGGAAUAUAUUUUUGGAACAUAUUUUAGUGGCUUGCAGAAUCAGCACAAGUGUCUUCGCAAAUUUCGUCUGCGGCUUAUAUUCCUGCUGGAAGCUAUUCUGUGGCGACCAUGACAGGGCUGUCGGUCUGCGGGCAGGACUUGGCACGCCCACUCAAGGAGGUGAGUGCAUGCAGUGUCCUUGCACUUGACAACAGGACUGAAGCAGCCUCAAAAACGAAAUAGUGAAAUAGGGGAAAUAAAGUCGCACACAGAAAACGUAAACGCAAAGCUUGCUGACAUCUCGUGCCUGCCUUCGCUUAAU